AGGACGAACGCUGGCGGUGUGCUUCACACAUGCAAGUCGAACGAGGUAGCAAUACCUAGUGGCAGACGGGUGAGUAACGCGUGGGAAUCUGCCUUUAGAUGGGGGAUAACGGGUCGAAAGACUCGCUAAUACCGCAUAUGACGAAAGUUGAAAGGAGUAAUCCGUCUAAAGAUGAGCCCGCGUCCGAUUAGCUAGUUGGUAGAGUAAAAGCCUACCAAGGCGACGAUCGGUAGCUGGUCUGAGAGGAUGAUCAGCCACAAUGGGACUGAGACACGGCCCAUACUCCUACGGGAGGCAGCAGUGGGGAAUUUUACGCAAUGGGCGAAAGCCUGACGUAGCGACACCGCGUGAGCGAAGAAGCCCCUUGGGGUGUAAAGCUCUGUCAGCUGGAACGAAAAAAUGACGGUACCAGCAGAGGAAGCAUCGGCUAACUACGUG
rnacentral:rRNA from 1 species